AGAGUUUGAUCCUGGCUCAGGAUGAACGCUGGCGGCGUGCCUAAAACAUGCAAGUCGUGCGGCAGCAUGCCCUUCGGGGUGAUGGCGAGCGGCGGACGGCUGAGUAACGCGUGGGAAUGUGCCCCAAAGUGAGGGAUAACUGCCCGAAAGGGUGGCUAAUACCGCAUAUGGUCUUCGGAUUAAAGCUUCGGCGCUUUGGGAGCAGCCCGCGUAAGAUUAGAUAGUUGGUGAGGUAAUGGCUCACCAAGUCGAUGAUCUUUAACUGGUUUGAGAGGAUGAUCAGUCAGACUGGAACUGAGAAACGGUCCAGACUCCUACGGGAGGCAGCAGUUAGGAAUAUUCCACAAUGGGCGAAAGCCUGAUGGAGCAACGCCGCGUGGAGGAUGAAGGCCCUCGGGUCGUAAACUUCUUUUCUAUGCGAAGAAUAUGACGGUAACAUAGGAAUAAGGGUCUGCUAACUACGUGCCAGCAGCCGCGGUCAUACGUAGGACCCAAGCGUUAUCCGGAUUGACUGGGCGUAAAGAGUUGCGUAGGUGGUUUAUUAAGCGGGUAGUGAAAUCUUGUGGCUCAACCAUAAGACUGCUACUCGAACUGAUAAACUCGAGAAUGGGAGAGGUAUCUGGAAUUUCUCGUGUAGGGGUAAUAUCCGCAGAUAUGAGAAGGAACACCAAUGGCGUAGGCAGGAUACUGGCCCAUUUCUGACACUAAGGCACGAAAGCGUGGGGAGCGAACCGGAUUAGAUACCCGGGUAGUCCACGCCGUAAACUAUGAAUACUAGCUGUAUGCAGUAUCGACCCUGUGUGUAGCGAAGCUAACGCGUUAAGUAUUCCGCCUGGGGAGUACGGUCGCAAGACUAAAGCUCAAAGGAAUUGACGGGGACCCGCACAAGCGGUGGAGCAUGUUGUUUAACUCGAUGGUAAACGAAGAACCUUACCAAGGCUUGACAUCCUGAGAAUCAUUCUGAAAGGAAUGAGUGCCGGCUUUGAGCGCAUAAAAUAAUUGUGCGUUGAAAGCCGGAACUCAGUGACAGGUGUUGCAUGGCCGUCGUCAGCUCGUGUCGUGAGAUGUUUGGUUAAGUCCAUCAACGAGCGCAACCCUUAUGAUUAGUUGUAUUUUUCUAAUCAGACUGCCCCGGUAACGGGGAGGAAGGAGGGGAUGAUGUCAGGUCAGUAUUACCCUUACGCCUUGGGCUACAAACGUGCUACAAUGGCCGGUACAAUGGGCAGCCAAGUCGCGAGACGGAGCAAAUCUCAUCAAAGCCGGUCCCAGUUCGGAUUGCAGGCUGAAACUCGCCUGCAUGAAGUCGGAAUCGCUAGUAAUCGCAGAUCAGAAUGCUGCGGUGAAUACGUUCCCGGGUCUUGUACACACCGCCCGUCAAACCACGAAAGUGAGUAACACCCGAAGUCUGAAUUUAUUUCGGCCUAAGGUGGGACGCAUGAUUGGGGUUAAGUCGUAACAAGGUA
rnacentral:rRNA from 1 species